rnacentral:rRNA from 1 species
AUUGAACGCUGGCGGCAUGCCUUACACAUGCAAGUCGAACGCGAAAGUAGGGGCAACCCUGCGAGUAGAGUGGCGAACGGGUGAGUAAUGCAUCGGAACAUUUCCAGUAGCGGGGGAUAACCUCGAGAAAUCGAGGCUAAUACCGCAUACGUCCUACGGGAGAAAGCGGGGGACCGCAAGGCCUCGCACUAUUGGAGUGGCCGAUGCCGGAUUAGCUAGUUGGCGGGGUAAAAGCCCACCAAGGCGACGAUCCGUAGCUGGUCUGAGAGGAUGAUCAGCCACACUGGGACUGAGACACGGCCCAGACUCCUACGGGAGGCAGCAGUGGGGAAUUUUGGACAAUGGGCGCAAGCCUGAUCCAGCCAUGCCGCGUGAGUGAAGAAGGCCUUCGGGUUGUAAAGCUCUUUCGGCCGGGACGAAAUCGCACCCUUUAUACGGGGUGUGGAUGACGGUACCGGAAGAAGAAGGACCGGCUAACUACGUGCCAGCAGCCGCGGUAA